GGGGACACUGCGUCUUUAUACUGUAAGUACAAUUUGACUGUAUUAUUUGUGUCCCCCUUCAAAAAUUGCUCAUGAGAAAUUGUAUAUGUAUUGUCCCCCCUACUCUUAAAUGAAAUUUACGCCCAUGGAGUCAUCCAGUCUUUUAAUUCAUUAAUACACUCAGUUAUCCGAGCUAAUUGAGCUGUAUUGUCUGGUUUUGAUGAGAUAUAUAGCUGGGUAUCAUCAGCAUAACAGUGGAAGUUAAUCCUAUACUUUCUAAUAAUAUUUUCUAAGGGAAGCAUGUAUAUUGUGAAAAGCAGGGGUCCUGGAACUGAACCUUGAGGCAUGCCAUAAUUUACUAGCAUUAACCUGGAUAGCUCCCCAUUUAAGUCUACAAAAUGGUAACGAUCGGACAGGUAGGAUUUAAACCAGCUUAAUGCCUAUCCCUGAAUGAGAAUAAAAUGUUGUAAGCAUUCAGGAGGAGAUCCUCAUCUCUCAGCCUAUUGAUCACUUUUAAAGGUGCUCUUCGUGCUCAUCAAUGUUUAUAUGUUUCUGUUGGAAAUUCUCUGAUUGGGGUAGUGGUUGCACGGAACAGCUGGCGGUAGGUCUCUGGGGAAAUAUCAAACUUUUCCAGCAGAGCCUCUUUGAGGUUAUAAUAUACCUCUGCCCUGUCCUUCAUCAUGGUCAGGUAGGCCACCAGUGCUUGCCCUGUUAACAGAGAAACAAGUGUGUAAGAGAAGUUUUCUAAAGCACUUAGCAAAUAAAGCAUUAUAUAUUUCUAUCAGUCUUUAAACAUCCACACAACAAUAUUCUUAUUUAUAUUGCUUUCUUAUUCUUAAAGAAAAUUUAAACUGAGCCAGUUUUUUUCCAGCAAAAUAACGACGCCAAACACACAGCCAAGAUGACAGCUGCCUUGCUGAGGAAGCUGAAGGUAAAUCAGUGUGCCUUAAGACAUCGACCUGUGUACAUGUGGAGCUAUGCACCCUUUCACCAAGCUCUCCUCACACUGCUUCAGUUAAGGGGCUGCUUUACACCAAGAUGGAUUUCAUGCCAAAGUGAAGACAGCCUGCCAGGAGCAGAGAACUGGCACUGUGGGGUGAGUCUGGACAGAUUGAAGACAGUGAGGGACAACAGGUCACUGAACAAACUCCUGUCUAUCAUGGAAAAUUCAUCUCACCCACUACAUGAGGCAGCGGAGUUCAUUCUUCAACAGACUGAUUCUGACAAAGAACGGUUCAGGAAAUCAUUCCUACCAUUGGCAAUUGCACUGUACAAUGACUUACCUCUAUGUAAAAGAUGAUAAUUGUAACUUAUAUAUAUAAAAUCCCAUUAUUCACUGUCACUUUACACACAUUUUCUUCCUUUUCCUUUCCUUUCUUUUGAAUUGCCAGUUUGCAAUCCAGUUUGUUUUUCUAUGCAGCAUCAUCUGCAAUAUUGUAUUUAUUUACAUCAAUCACAAUCACAUAAUUACAUACUACUAAAUGACGAGUACAUUUUUGUUUUAACAGAAUGCUGUAUCCUCUCUCUCUUAAAAUCUCCAAGGUUAUUGUGGUGGGAGACCUGGCUGAAGGGAAAACAUGUCUUAUUAAUAGGUAAUCAUUACUUAAGUGAAAAAGUAAAGAAGCCACUGUUUAAUGUGUACUCAGAAUGAACUUUUAUUUAACAAAUUAACAGACAGUGAAUUAUACAUUCCUUGUAAGUAUUUUUUCCUCUUUUUAGACAUUUUACAAAUCUAUGCACAAAAAUUGUUCUGCCUUCCUUUCUGUGUGAGAUGUUUAUGCAUAAUCUUGGUACAAGGACGAAAAUAAAACAGUGUCAAUUUA